AGAGUUUGAUCCUGGCUCAGAUUGAACGUUGGCGGCAGGCCUAAAACAUGCAAGUCGAACGGUAACAGCGGAAGCUUGCUUCCGGCUGACGAGUGGCGGACGGGUGAGUAACACGUAGGAAUCUACCUAGUAGUGGGGGACAACCCGGGGAAACCCGGGCUAAUACCGCAUACGCUCUACGGAGGAAAGCGGGGGAUCUUCGGACCUCGCGCUAUUUGAAGAGCCUGCGUCGGAUUAGCUAGUUGGUGGGGUAAAGGCCUACCAAGGCGACGAUCCGUAGCUGGUCUGAGAGGACGAUCAGCCACACUGGAACUGAGACACGGUCCAGACUCCUACGGGAGGCAGCAGUUAGGAAUCUUGGGCAAUGGGCGAAAGCCUGACCCAGCCAUGCCGCGUGUGUGAAGAAGGCCUUCGGGUUGUAAAGCACUUUCAGCGGUGAAGAAAAGCUCAGGCUUAAUACACUUGAGUCUUGACGUUAACCACAGAAGAAGCACCGGCUAACUCCGUGCCAGCAGCCGCGGUAAUACGGAGGGUGCGAACGUUAAUCGGAAUCACUGGGCGUAAAGCGCGCGUAGGCGGUUUGUUAAGUGGGAUGUGAAAUCCCCGGGCUUAACCUGGGAAUUGCAUUUCAAACUGGCCGACUAGAGUACGAUAGAGGGGAGGUAGAAUUUCCUGUGUAGCGGUGAAAUGCGUAAAUAUAGGAAGGAAUACCAGUGGCGAAGGCGGCCUCCUGGAAUCGAUACUGACGCUGAGGCGCGAAAAGCGUGGGG
rnacentral:rRNA from 1 species